rnacentral:rRNA from 1 species
AUGGAGCAGCAAGGCCAAUCCAGCGAUUCUGCCCAUUCCUACGUUAUAGAGAUGGCUCAGCUGGCAAAUGAGCUCACUGGGAAACUAGACGCCCUCAACUCGUCCCAGGCGCCGGUUGGCGGCGGGCGUUCUUCUUGUCCCAUCAUCGUCGCCAAGGUCCGCGACCUCACGCGCAACGUCGACUGCGGCGAGUACGAUCCUGACCACGUCGCCAUCGGCCCGUACAACUACCCUCGGCCCCAGAGCAGGAGCCCGCACCUCGCCAUGGAGCACGACAAGCUGACGAGUCUUGGCAAGCUGCUCUCGGCUGCAAGAGCCAUGAGACCCGACAUGACGGUGAACGUCUACAUCAACGAGCUCAGAUGCCUUGAAGAAUCAGUGAGGAACUGCUACGCCAACACGUUUGCUGACAUGACGAGUGAGCAGUUUGUACGCAUGCUCCUCCUCGACGGCUGCUACAUACUCUCCCGUCUCGUUGGCUUCCAAGCACAGCCCGCAGAUGAUGCAUCGGUGACUGUAGAAGUCGGCGUCCCAUCGGCGAACAGGGCGGAGGCUCUGGCGGUAGUCCGCGACGUCUUCUACCUCGCCGAGAACCAGAUACCUUUCUUCGUCCUAGAGAAGAUUGGAGAGCUGACGGCUUUGGAUGGUAAGGAUCGUGUGAUUAAAAAGAUCACAGAGUAUGCCCUCGAUCUCAUGAGAAGACAGAAGUAUAAAGAGGCAGCGCCUGCCAUGGUGCCGCCGCAGCCAACCGUGCCUGGCAAUCUUCUCCAUCUUCUUCAUAUGCAUUUGAAGCCUGCUCCACCCUCCGCCCCGCCUGCUGCCACCGUAAACGACUCCGAUCAAGUGCGCCGGUGGCGCUCAGCGACAGAGUACAGCUUCGCAGGGGUGAAGUUCAAGGGUCGGGCCAUGAAUGAGAAGGGCAUGCGCUCCAUCCUCGACGUGAAGCUGAAUAGAGGAGGCAGCACGCUGGAGGUCCCCCGCCUGGACAUCGACAGUGAGACGUGGCGGCUGCUGCGCAACCUGAUGGAGCUGGAGCAGCGGAACCGGGAGGCAGUGGGGAGCCACGUCACGGCAUACUGCGUGUUCAUGUCCCAGGUGGCCUGCACCACCAAGGACGUGGAGCUGUUGUCGAAGAGGGACGUCAUUGUACACGGCCACGGCAACAACGACGAGGUGGCCAAAUGCUUCGCCGACCUCUGCAAGGGGAUCCAAUUCGACCCUGACGACCCCGAGUGCAACUACCUGCGGGAGACAUGCUGGAUUCUAGAAAAGCGGUCUCGGAGCUCCUCACGGAGGUGGAUGGCAUGGCUGAGGCGGAAGUACUUCAGGAACCCAUGGCUUGUUAUCGGGCUCCUGGCAGCUGUCGUUGGGCUAGCUUGUGAAGUCGUGCAGGCAGUGUACUCUGUUUUGAGUUAG